rnacentral:lncRNA from 1 species
CCAACCCAUGUCACCAUGGAAUGAAUUGGCCGAUCCCCCUGAUAGCACUUGUGCCCAGGUUGUCCAUUCAAGGCCAGAAGCACUUAGUGCUACCUGGGUGCCUGCAACUGCCCCCAGAGAGUGCCACAAUGAGAAGGAUGAACAUGGUAGGUGUGGCUCUUCCAAGCCCCAUGGGAAUAACAAAACAUCUCAGAUCAAAUUCUUUUUAUGCUGUUUACUUUUGCUAUUGCGUUUAUCAUUUAAUCCAUUAUAUAUAUCUAUGUUGUGGCUUACAUCUCAGGAAAUGCUAGAAUGGGUAAAGAUUUGAACAUAGGUGUCACUAAUGUUCCAGAGCUUGAAGGCCGAUCAGGUAAAGCUAUGGAUGAUUUAGCCGCUCCUAUGAAGGACACACAUUUGGAAUUAGACCCCAAGGAUAGUGAGAAAAUGGUUAGAAACCUCAAGCACAACAAGGAAACACGGGAAGAUGACCUGAAAGGCAAGGAUGUUGGUUAUAGGGGUGAUCACACCAAAACCGGCACUCCUCUAGUAGAAAGUAUGGCCAAUGAAGUUCUGAAAGAUCCUUCCAAGAUCACAAACAUCAAAGAAAUAGCCACCUAUGACAGUAAAGACAUGCCUUCUGUUGAACUUAGUUUGAAGCAGCUUCGAGAUGUUGGAGAAACUGGGACCAGUGUGCAAGAGCGCAAUAUACUCAGGCAUUCAGACCUUUCAGCAUUCUCUAGGCAUGUGAUUCAACUGUUACUAAAACUCAAUAUCCUGAAGAAACUACAGUUGCUAAUUGAAUCUCUUCACAUGCAGGUAUAAUGCCGCUUC